GACGAACGCUGGCGGCGUGCUUAACACAUGCAAGUCGAACGGACAGGCCCUGCUUUUGCGGGGUGCUCGAGUGGCGAACGGGUGAGUAACACGUGAGUAACCUGCACUUGACUUUGGGAUAACUUCAGGAAACUGGGGCUAAUACCGGAUAGGAGAUCCUGCUGCACGGGGGGGGUUGGAGAGAUUCGGCGGUUGGGGAUGGAAUCGCGGCUUAUCCGCUUGUUGGUGGGGUAGUGGCUGACCAAGGCUUUGACGGGUAGCCGGCCUGAGAGGGUGACCGGCCACAAUGGGACUGAGAUACGGCCCAGACGCCUACGGGAGGCAGCAGUGGGGAAUAUGGCACAGUGGGCGGAAGCCUGAUGCAGCAACGCCGCGUGCGGGAUGACGGCCUUCGGGUUGUAAACCGCUUUCGCCUGUGACGAAGCGUGAGUGACGGUAAUGGGUAAAAAAGCACCGGCUAACUACGUG
rnacentral:rRNA from 1 species